rnacentral:lncRNA from 1 species
UUCAACUGAAGUUUCAUUUGUGGUAAGUGCUGAUGAUAAAGCCUAGGAUAGUUCAUCUAGUUGUUUCCAGAAGAUGGGGCAUACCCGCCACUGACCAGUGGAAAACCCAUAGCCAGGAAACAGUUCUUUAUAAGGACUAUUAUUUUGUCUUGUCCAACUCAAUGAAACUGCUUGCACAUACUGUGAUAGAAAGCCCUACACUAAGCCACGGAUUCUUGAGAAAUUCUCAGCCUGGUCAGGCUCUGGUGAGUAUAACUUCCUUUAUACUCCCUGUGGCUGCUCAGAAAAAUGAGAGAGGAUUUAUCCCUACUCUAUCCAAUUAUGGUUUUAUUUCUUUUCAAAGAAUAAAAUGUCUUUCCUCAUGCUCAUAUCCGCAACUUUGAGACAUUACCCAAGACAAGUCAUAGCAGCAGCUCUUCUCCAGAUGUGACUUCCAGAUAGCUUUUCCUAUUUGAAUAGCUGUCUGCAUUUUUUUGAUUUUUGAGGCUAGAAAAAUCUUUCCAGAAACAAUGUUCUGAUGCACUAACAACUGUAAACUUAUUGCCUCUCUCAGGGGGGUCCAGAGCAUCCAGUAAGUUCACAAGUGUGUUAUGGAAUGUGAAAAAGUAAAAAAAACAAACCAAACCAAAAUAAAAUCAUGUUCCAUUCUUUUGCAUCUAACCAAGAUCCAUGUGAAUAAAGUACACUGACAUCAUGAUUUCCUGAGAUAUUAUAGAUACCGUAGCUGAUAGAGUCAAAGGGUGGAAUGGGCCACUCAAAUGCUGAGUUGGGAAGUGCUGACAGCAUGUUUUAAUAUCUGUUUAGUCUGUCUUUGGCUGAGAACCCUGAAGAUCAUCCAUGCAUAUCCUUCUGAACAUUGACUUUUUUUUCCUUAGCUAUCUCCUGAAAUGGAAACUUCAACAGGACAUCCAUAAGCAAGCUGUGAUAUAUAUUCAUAGCUAGCCAGUGGCUCUGACUGUUCUACCCAUCACAGCCAUGGUCCUGGUUAUGUUUGCAUCUUCUCUCAGUCCUGAGUCUCCACUCCUUCACCCAUUCUAGUUAUCUAUUGCUAUAGGCUACCACAGAGUCAAACAAGUACCUAUCUAUAGGGCCCACUUAAAGGCCAAGGGCUACGUAACUUCUGUUGUGCAUGUAAAGAAAUCCUGUGAUGUAACCCCUUUCUGUGCAGUUUGAAAGACAAAGUGAACACAUCUGAAGCGAUUAAAAAGCUAUACAGUAUCUAAGUCAUAAUACAUACCUCCCAGAUGGACAUCCUGAAGUAAGGGAGCUCCAGGUUUGCUUUAGGUGUGAUGUAGAGGACUCAAGGAAGAGGAGUUCAGCCAAGUAUUGGAGGACUAGCAGCCUAGAGAAGGAAGACAGAGAAGUCUGUUCCAAACAGUGGGAAUUAAAAGCACAAAAGCCAAAGUGUACAGAGCAGGUGUGUGGGACUAUGGUUAAGGAGUGAGGGACAGGGAGAGACAAAAUGACAGAGUAGAAAGUUUUAGGAAAUUUAAUCGCCCUUUUGGAAUCUACCCAUUCUUCUUAUGCAUUGAAGUCUGUGAAUCCUAGGACCUCAUUUGAAAGAGGAAACCAAGAAAACUGAAAAUAUUGUUCAGGGAGUUACAUAAAGUCAGAAGGGAACCAGAGUGAGCUUGACACUGUGUUUUCCUUUUCCUUGUUAGGGAUUCAGUGAGAACCUGGCACAGAAAACUCUCAUUUCCCCAUACUCUUCUCUCACUCCUACCCCACAUCAGCAUUACCAUUACCCCCAUGAAGAGCUAUUCACACCAAGAAAAGCAUUGCACAAAUCCAGCAUAAUGCCAACCAGGAACAAAGGCUGACACUUGAGUGUUAAGUUCAUGGCCUUUGUCACAUUGGCCUGGAGCCCCAACAAGGCCCCAACUGCUUUCUAGGGGAGUUUUUACCAAUUGAUUUUCUGCUUCAAGAUUGUAAAACUAGCACUUUUAGCAUUAUUUUAGUUCUCUUCUAACACCUGCCCAGUGAAAGAAAGCAAAGGAGAGAAUUAUCUUUCUCAAUACUCCCUCUUCCCAGGAAAAAACACACAGGACUUUUUCUCCCCUCACCAACCCAGAAUACAAGUUCUUACUGGCUUCUGGGUCCUAAUACAAUCUGGUAGUAGAGUUUAUAUGUAUGUUUCUUUGGCUGGACUGUGAGUUAUAUGAGGACAGGACACUUGCUCUACAUACCACUUUCAUCUUUUCACAAUGCAUAACACAGUGGCUGAGGCCUAGGGAAUGUUCAAUAAAUGGAAAAAGAGAAAAGACCACAAAAGAGAUUCAUCCUGGAAUUAUUUCUAGGACAAAGCAGAUCAUGAAUGAAUGAACAUUUACUCCAUCCGGGGAAUCCCUGGGUGGCGCAGCGGUUUGGCGCCUGCCUUUGGCCCAGGGCACGAUCCUGGAGACCCGGGAUCGAAUCCCACAUCAGGCUCCCAGUGCAUGGAGCCUGCUUCUCCCUCUGCCUGUGUCUCUGCCUCUCUCUCUCUCUCUGUGACUAUCAUAAAUAAAUUUAAAAAAUUUAAAAAAAAAAAAAAGAAUGAACAUUUACUCCAUCCAACACAAUGUCUUUAGAAUCUUUGAGUUUAGGCUAAUCCUUCCUUUAAAUUGAAAAAGACUAGAUGUCCCCAUUAAAUCAUCAGAUCCUUUCCAAAGUGGCAGCUAACUAUAAGCAAGGUCUUAUGAUGACACAGAGUAAUUUUACUAGAGAGGAGAGUGGACAUUAGAAUAUAGGGUUUCUUUCUUUCUUUUCUUUUCUAUUUCUUUUUUUUUUUUUGUAUAUUUUUUUAUUGGAGUUCUAUUUGCCAACAUAUAGUAUAAUACCCAGUGCUCAUCCCGUCAAGUGCCCCCCUCAGUGCCCAUCACCCAGUCACCCCAUCCCCCCGCCCACCUCCCCUUCUACUGCCCUUUGUUCAUUUCCCAGAGUUAGGAGUCUCUUAUGUUCUGUCUGAUAUUUCCCACUCAGUUUCUCUCCUUUCCCCUUUAAUUCCUUUCACUAUUUUUUAUAUUCCCCAAAUGAAUGAAACCAUAUAAUGUUUGUCCUUCUCUGAUUGACUUACUUCAGUCAGCAUAAUACCCUACAGUUCUAUCCAUGUUAAAGCAAAUGGUGGGUAUUCAUCAUUUCUAAUGGCUGAGUAAUAUUCCAUUGUAUACAUAGACCACAUCUUCUUUAUCCAUUCAUCUUUUGAUGGACACCAAGGCUCCUUCCACAGUUUGGCUAUUGUGG